rnacentral:rRNA from 1 species
UACGUAGGGUGCAAGCGUUAAUCGGAAUUACUGGGCGUAAAGCGUGCGCAGGCGGUUUUGUAAGUCUGUCGUGAAAUCCCCGGGCUCAACCUGGGAAUUGCGAUGGAGACUGCAAGGCUAGAAUCUGGCAGAGGGGGGUAGAAUUCCACGUGUAGCAGUGAAAUGCGUAGAGAUGGUGGAGGAACACCGAUGGCGAAGGCAGCCUCCUGGGCCAGCACUG